rnacentral:lncRNA from 10 species
CCACCAUUACCCUGCCCAACUACAUAAACAUUAAAAUCCAAUCUAGCCCUCAUUGUGAGACUUAGGAAGGCAUGUUUCUAUUGGCAACCAAGUUCCUUAACAUCACUGCACACUGACUAGAAAGGAAUCAGGAUUGACGAAAACACAAAGACAUCUUUCUAAAAGAAAAUAGAGACAGUAUAUUCUGGAAGUUUAUAUAAGUUCCAAAAAAGGAGUCACUCUGGUGCAGUUUCAACCCUCGCUACAGCAGGUUUCUUUAUGGAAAUUUGGACACAGACUGACAGGCACAUGGGAGAAUGCCAUAUGAAGAUGAAGACAGUGAUCAGGGUGAUGAAUCUACAAGCCAAGGAAUGCCAAAGAUUGCCAGCGAACCACAAGAAGCGAGGCAAGAGGCAUGGAACAGACUCUUUCUCACAGCCCUCAGAAAGAACCAACCCUGCCAACACUUUGAUCUCAUACUUCUAUCCUCCAGAACUGUGAGACAAUAAAUUUCUGGUGUUUAAGCCACUCAGUUUGUGUUACUUUGUUAUGGCAGCCCUAGGAAGCUAAUACAG